rnacentral:rRNA from 1 species
GGAUUGUAGUCUGCAACCCGACUACAUGAAGCUGGAAUCGCUAGUAAUCGCGGAUCAGAAUGCCGCGGUGAAUACGUUCCCGGGUCUUGUACACACCGCCCGUCACACCAUGGGAGUCGGAAAUGCCCGAAGUCUGUGACCCAACCUGAGGAGGGAGGGAGCAGCCGAAGGCAGGUCUGAUGACUGGGGUGAAGUCGUAACAAGGUAUC